AUUGAACGCUGGCGGCAGGCCUAACACAUGCAAGUCGAGCGGAUGAAGUGAGCUUGCUCCUGGAUUCAGCGGCGGACGGGUGAGUAAUGCCUAUGAAUCUGCCUGGUAGUGGGGGAUAACGUCCGGAAACGGGCGCUAAUACCGCAUACGUCCGGAGGGAGAAAGUGGGUGAUCUUCGGACCUCACGCUAUCAGAUGAGCCUAGGUCGGAUUAGCUAUUUGGUGGGGUAAAGGCCUACCAAGGCGACGAUCCGUAACUGGUCUGAGAGGAUGAUCAGUCACACUGGAACUGAGACAGGGUCCAGACUCCUACGGGAGGCAGCAGUGGGGAAUAUUGGACAAUGGGCGAAAGCCUGAUCCAGCCGUGCCGCGUGUGUGAAGAAGGUCUUCGGAUUGUAAAGCACUUUAAGUUGGGAGGAAGGGAAGUAAGUUAAUACCUUGCUGUUUUGACGUUACCAACAGAAUAAGCACCGGCUAACUUCGUG
rnacentral:rRNA from 1 species